UACGGAGGGUGCAAGCGUUAUCCGGAUUCACUGGGUUUAAAGGGUGCGUAGGUGGAUUGGUAAGUCAGUGGUGAAAUCUCCGGGCUUAACCCGGAAACUGCCAUUGAUACUAUCAGUCUUGAAUACCGUGGAGGUCAGUAGAAUAUGUCAUGUAGCGGUGAAAUGCUUAGAUAUGACAUAGAACACCAAUUGCGUAGGCAGCUUACUACACGAUCAUUGACGCUGAGGCACGAAAGCGUGGGGAGCAAACAGG
rnacentral:rRNA from 1 species